rnacentral:lncRNA from 1 species
AGGGGCUUUCUGGGAGCCCGGCGGCCGCGCACGCGCAGGAGCGCGCCUCUCCGCCAUGGCGUCGGCGCCGUCCAGUCAGCCGCCGGUGGUGGCGGCGACUUCCCCCCAGGAAGCGCGGUCUCCGCCUCCUCCCCCCACCCCGCCUGCUCGGCGGCGGAGGCGGCGGUGGAGGCAGCGGUUGUCCCUGCCUCUCCGCCACCUCCCCCUCGGCCUAUCCCCCGGCCGGCGGCGUUGGCGGGGAGGGGGACAGUAGUUGUAGACGCCCGCCCCUGCCUCAAAGAAGCUUUCAGUGGCUUGUCUGAGCCUUGGUUACUGAGCCUUGCUCGUGGUCGUGUUUGUACCAACUAUGGGGGAUGCUUGCCUACCACAGACACCACAUUGAAUGAACAAAGUUUGAAUCACAAAGGAUCUCACAUUAUGAGCUCCCCGGUUAUUGCACAUUCUCGUUAUUUGGGGAAAGUUCACGCUAGAAAACUGAAGCAAUUAAUGGGUGAAUAUGAUAAGAUUUCUCCACCAAGUUCUCAGCGUGAUAAGGAG